CAAUAGCGUAUAUUAAAGUUGUUGCAGUUAAAAAGCUCGUAGUUGGAUUUCUGGUUGAAGCGACCGGUCGGGCGUUGAUUCGUCUGCACUGGAGUCGGUUUUGGCCAUCCUCUAGGACAGUGCGUCUGGUAUUAAGUUAUCGGGCGUAUGAUCCUGGUCUUUUACUGUGAAAAAAUUAGAGUGUUUAAAGCAGGCCUUCGCCUUGAAUACAUUAGCAUGGAAUAAUAAGAUAGGACUUUGGUCUAUUUUGUUGGUUUGCAGACCGAAGUAAUGAUUAAUAGGGAUAGUUGGGGGUAUUUAUAUUCCGAUGUCAGAGGUGAAAUUCUUAGAUUUUCGGAAGAUAAACUUAUGCGAAAGCAUUUACCAAGGAUGUUUUCAUUAA
rnacentral:rRNA from 1 species